rnacentral:rRNA from 1 species
UGAGGAAUAUUGGGCAAUGCCCGCAAGGGUGACCCAGCAACGCCGCGUGGAGGAUGAAUGUCGUAAGAUUGUAAACUCCUGUUAGAGGGGAAGAAUAGUACCGGUUGGACCGGUAUAUGACUGUACCCUCAGAGAAAGCCCCGGCUAACUACGUGCCAGCAGCCGCGGUAAUACGUAGGGGGCAAGCGUUGUCCGGAUUUACUGGGUGUAAAGGGCGCGCAGGCGGGAUAAAAAGUCAGUGGUGAAGUCCUACAGCUUAACUGUAGAACUGCCUUUGAUACUUUUACUCUUUAGUUCGGGAGAGAGAGACGGAAUUCCAGGUGUAGUGGUGAAAUACGUAGAUAUCUGGAAGAACACCAGGUGCGAAGGCGGUCUCUUGGUCCGACACUGACGCUGAGGCGCGAAAGCGUGGGGAGCAAACA